rnacentral:tRNA from 1 species
AGUAUAGCUCAGUGGUAGAGUAUUUGGCUAGCAGGCAUGAAACCCUGGGUUCAAUCUCCAGUACU